CAAUGCCUGGGAUGUGCGAUACCCCUGCUUUUUUGAACCUACAUUUACUUUUAUGGGACUCUUAUAUUACUGACCGGAUGUCAGGCCGCCUCGUAUCAGUGGAAGGCAGAACGUCAGCUGCGGAUACCCACCUAGCGUUCGCUAGGAGUCAAAAUUGCAGGAAACGGCAUUUUGGGUUUUUG
rnacentral:other from 2 species